rnacentral:misc_RNA from 1 species
UGGUUCUGGCAUCGAUGAAGAACGCAGCGAAAUGCGAUAAGUAAUGCGAAUUGCAGAAUUCCAGUGAGUCAUCGAAUCUUUGAACGCACAUUGCGCCCAUUGGUAUUCCGAUGGGCAUGCCUGUUCGAGCGUCAUUAUCAACCCUCAAGCCCCCUGGCUUGGUGUUGGAGACUGGCUAGGCGUCCGCGCCCAGGGCCUCUCCCAAAGACAAUGACGGCGGCGACGACGACCCCCGGUACACUGAGCUUUUAACUGAGCACGUGCUGGACGGGCCCCGUGGCCACGGUCUGCCUCCCCUCAGGGAGAAACGGAUUCUAUCCACCAAGGUUGACCUCGGAUCAGGUAGGGAUACCCGCUGA